rnacentral:rRNA from 1 species
UGAGGAAUAUUGGGCAAUGCCCGAAAGGGUGACCCAGCAACGCCGCGUGGAGGAUGAAGGUCGUAAGAUUGUAAACUCCUGUUAGAGGGGAAGAAUAACUAAGUUUGGAGCUUAGUAUGACUGUACCCUCAGAGAAAGCCCCGGCUAACUACGUGCCAGCAGCCGCGGUAAUACGUAGGGGGCAAGCGUUGUCCGGAUUUACUGGGUGUAAAGGGCGCGCAGGCGGAAUGGAAAGUCAGUGGUGAAAUCCUACAGCUUAACUGUAGAACUGCCUUUGAUACUUUCAUUCUUGAGUUCGGGAGAGAGAGACGGAAUUCCAGGUGUAGUGGUGAAAUACGUAGAUAUCUGGAAGAACACCAGUUGCGAAGGCGGUCUCUUGGUCCGGUACUGACGCUGAGGCGCGAAAGCGUGGGGAGCAAACA